rnacentral:lncRNA from 1 species
AUGUGGAGAGACAGAGGGUUUGGAGCAUGCUCCAUAGGCUUCAGAACCCCUCCUCUCCCCUGCUUUCCUUCCCUCCCUCCCUCCCUCCCUCCCUCCCUCCCUCCCUCCCUCCCUCCCUCCCUCCCUCCUCCACCUCCUCCUAUCCUUUACCUUUCCCCCCAGUCCCAGGGAAAUCUUAGUGGGGUGAAAGGGAACAAGGCAGGGAAGGACUUUGCGGUGGGAUGGAGCUGGGAGGGUCAGGCUGGGGAAAUCACCACGCUGGGAAACUGGGGGUAUCACACAUGGCUGCUCCUUGAAUGUUCUGUGAGUGAGCAGCCCUGCUGUUCGGCCCAGAACCUGCUGGUCUGGGGAUUCUCAUCAGCGACAGACCUGCCCCACACUCUCCUGGUUCUGGUUGGACGAGACCACUGCUUGACUUGCCAUCACGUGCUCAGGGUUGUUCUGGCUGUCACUGCUGGCUGUCACAGUCCCUGUCCCUCACUGACAGGCAAACAUGGAGAG